AAAAAGCUCGUAGUCGGAUUUUGGCUGAGAACGGUCGGUCCGCCGUUAGGUGUGCACUGACUGGUCUCAGCUUCCUGGUGAGGAGGUGUGCUUCAUCGCCACUUAGUCACCGUGGUUACUUUGAAAAAAUUAGAGUGUUCAAAGCGGGCUUACGCUUGAAUAUAUUAGCAUGGAAUAACACCAUAGGACUCCUGUCCUAUUUCGUUGGUCUCGGGACGGGAGUAAUGAUUAAGAGGGACAGUUGGGGGCAUUCGUAUUUCAUUGUCAGCGGUGAAAUUCUUGGAUUUAUGAAAGACGAACUUCUGCGAAAGCAUUUGCCAAGGAUGUUUUCAUUAAUCAAGAACGAAAGUUGGAGGCUCGAAGACGGUCAGAUACCGUCCUAGUUCCAACCAUAAACGAUGCCGUCUGCGGAUCAGAGGUCGCUCAUGUAAAGCUCCUUCGGCACGCUAUGAGAAAUCAAAGACUUCGGGUUCCGGGGGGAGUAUGUUCGCAAGAAUGAAACUUAAAGGAAUUGACGGAAGGGCACCACCAAGAGUGGAACCUGCGGUUUAAUUUGACUCAACACGGGAAAACUCACCAGGUCCAGACAUA
rnacentral:rRNA from 1 species